UGUGUUUGUCACUCACUUGAAUGCAAGGAUGAUUGAACGAGCAAGUCAGGUUUUAAAAUGAUUUUUGCCUCAGAGUGCAUCUUCGUGUGUUUCACGACUGUACACUCCUGUAUACACAUUAUCCAUUAUCUUCCAAUGACAGAGAGAGAGAAAUAAAGAGAGUCAGAGAGAGAGAGAGAUCAUUUUUGCGAUGUGACAGAUGGUAACGUUUGAGCUAGGCAGUUCAUGAAGUGGAGGCAGAUACCCGAGCGGUUAAGAGCAUUGGGCCAGUAACCGAAAGGUCGCUGCUUCCAAUCCCCGAGCUAACUGGGUGAAAAACCUGUCAAUGUGCCCUUAUGCAAGACACUGAACCCUAAUUGCUCUGGAUAAGAGCAUCUGCUAAGUGACUAAAAUGUAAAUGUGAGCUCUGGUUGGAAUAACUGUCCUUGUGUAGCCAAUUUGAUGCUUUCUUUGAGGAAAUGGGGAUUAGCUUUCUGUUUUCAACAGCAUUGAUCGAUUGAACAGGAAACGUUAGAAAGCUAGCAUGUGCUGUUUGUGUUCCUGUGCUUCUGUGUCUAUGUAUGCUCUCUCCCUUCUCACAUCUGCUUCCUUCUUUCCUCUCUUCUCCCCCUCUCCCCCUUGCAUGUCUCCUUGAGCGUGCUUUAUGUUCCUCAAAGCACUAUCAAACCAGGGUUAUAGUUUACCCCGGUAUUUUCCUUCGCAAAGAAAAAUACAAUAUAAUAAACUUUCCUUUGCUAUACCUGUGGGUCACCUUUGGGCAGUAGGUAACCAAAGAAGGAUAACAACUUUUUUUAUCAGAACAUAGGGUUCUGAAAAAAAUAUUAAAAAAUAAAUAAAAUACAAGUGCUAUUUGCAUUUAGGAGAUUGAGAUACUGCCAUUCAUAUCCCACCUAGUGAUCCUUGAUGUUUGCCAAUAUGUUACAAAACAUCUUCAGGUAACCAUUGGCCUUAUAGUUGUCCUCUAAUAGUAGAAUAUUGUAUGUAACUGAAGACGUAUUGUCUGUCACAUAUGGUACCGAUAUAUCCCUAUUGUUAUGUAUGUUGUGUCUUUUUGGCACUUUAUUGUCGACCUAUGAAUGCAUAGGUUAAAUGUUUAAUUACUUGGGUAAUGUAAUUUAUUUCUGUGUGUUCUAUGUACAGCUGCCUAUGGAUAUAGAUAUGUGCCUCCAACGGCCCAUGCCAUCAUUUGAUUUGAAAAUAGAGAAUAUAUAUAUAAUAGAAAUAUAUGUUUUGAAUUCUGUGACAGAUAAAAAUAUAUAUAUUAUAUGUGAAAUUGAUUAUUUAUUUUGAAUGUCAUCAAUCACUGAGGCCCUACCUCACAUUUUGUAUUUAUGUAUAGAAAUGCAAUUGGAGUAUAGUAUCUUUGCCAAUAAUAAUAUAUCGCUAUUAUAUCAUGAAAUGUUAUAACCUAUAAAUCUAUAAAUGUCAUUGUUUUCAACUUGAA
ensembl:lncRNA